ensembl:lincRNA A330074K22Rik uncharacterized LOC110337826
CUCUCCUCUCGAUUCCUCCUCCCCUGACCUCUUCUCUCCCCCAACCCCCUCCUCCACCCCUUCCUCCUCCCUCCCCACCCUCUCCCACCCCUUCACCCCCCCUGUGUCCCAAACUAUGGCACAAUAGGCCCCAGCUCCUCUGUCUAUUCUGUGUCCAGCAGGAGCCCGCGGUGAUUCAUUGCUCCAAUUAGGGGCUCUGCAGCCCGUGGCUCGGGCUGUCUGAAGGGUCUCCUUUGGGACCCACGAAACCCAUCAGCCGCUGCCGCUGAUCUUUAAGGAAAGGUCAAGUCGGACGCGAUAGUGCCAGAAUCAUCAGGCCAUCUGGCAGGAUGGUGCUUCCCGUAAUCCCAGCACCCUGGAGAUGCAUGGGAAGUUCAAGACCAGCCUGGGCUGCAUUGUGAAACUGUCUCAAAAAGUGAGAACACUGCAGGGAUCAGGAUCCCUCUUUAUGCAGUCCAGACUGGCUUAUUGGCCUGGAACUCACUGUGUAACCCAUGCUGGCCUCGAACUUACAAAAGACCACUUCCUUCAGCUUCCGGACUUAACAAGUGUAAACCACACGUCUAGCAUGGACUCGAUUGUUACAGUGACACCAGGAAACUCAUUUGAUGCCUUGCAUGGCCUGGCCCUACUGCUAUACAGAGUCCCGACUAUCCCCACCCCUGGGUUGGCUCAGCAUGGCCCUACUCAGCCCCAGCACUGAGUCCUGAAGGAGGCCUUGGCCGCCCCCAGCCCAGUGAGUCAGCCUCUUGGGUAGUCACCAUCCCUGCAGAGCCUCACCACACUUGUACGCCUCGCCUCCAGUCAGACUGCAGUUUCCUCAAAGGCCGGAAGCUCCAUUCAGGCGUCUUUGCUGUACCCAGCCCCUGUGGUGAAGGAGGAGCCCAAGGCCAGCUAAAGCACUGUGCAGUGCACUUCACACCAGCCUGUCCUUGUCCUCUAUCCCUGCAGAGCUCUGCCCCAGCCACCCCCUCAGCCCUGUGCUUCAUCAUGGCCUGACAUCGCCACCUGACGCCGGUGGCCAUGUCCCCUCUCUGAGAAGCACUCUGAUCCCCCUCACCAGAGUCCCACCUUAUACCCAGAAGCCAUGCCACCUUGGGACUCUCCGUUCUUUCCAAGAAUCUUUGUGAGUACAGCUGUUCUCCUAUGCUAUUUUCCCAGGGAUGGCCACCAAUUGGGCACACAAAGACAACUGGGUAGAGGCACUCUGUCAUCUAGCUCAGUCCCACCUGGCCAGCUGAGGGACCUUUUCCAGCCAUGUCCCCUCCCUGGGCCUUCCAACUUUCCAAUACAGAACCUGACUCAAAGAACAGUUAAGACCAACUGAGACAUCGUCUCCGUGGCCUGCUACAGGUUAACCCAGUAAAUUUCCAUCUCAUUUCCCUUGGCUAUUUCAUAGCCACCAAAGUGUGCCCUGGAGCCGUGGGCCUGGAGGGAGGUGGUUAUGUUGUAGAAGCUUCCCCCAGACAAUUGCAGGCUGAUCUGGAAACACCCAUCUACCUUUGCCAAGAUGGGGCUAGCUGUGCACCACUGGCUUUGGGGAGGUACAGCCACUUGUUAGUCAGGUAACCAACCGAUCUGUAGGACUGAUACUCUGCUCAGGGUCAUAUCACUAUCUCGGCCUCGCCCAUACUGCUUGGGUCCACUGUGGCCAAUAGCAGGGGGUCAGGGCCAUGACCGUCUCGCAGGUGGCAGAGACCUUGAACCCACCAGCCAUUCUCACUGUGUUCCCAGGGCUGUCGGGGGUGGGGGGCGGGGGACAGGAUGACAGGACUGUGGUGCAUGCAGAGAAAAUGUGCUCCCAGUGCUGGGACACACAGAAGAACCCAAAGGCGUGCUGUACCCUUAGAACAGACCUCAGGCCUGACUCCUGCCCUGGCCGAGUCCCCACCCCCACCCCCACCCCCACCCCCACCACUGGGGCUCUGAGGCUUUCCCAUGGAAUCUCUGGGUGGGUUUGGAUUCAGGCCACAAGGAACAUGUAUCGGAAGCUCAGUAACAGGAAAUGUUGUGUGGCCUUGGAUGGCUUUCCAGGCUGUGGCCUUCAGCCGGCUCUGCUCUGGGUAUUGCAGCCAUUGAAGCCUUCAAUGGGAUGGGAGCGGGAAGGGCCUUGGUCCCCGGGGUUGGCAGUGACUCUUUUUCCCUCCUUGGCUGGCUGCCCCUAAACACCCUGCACAGAGCCCAUUUAUCUAGAGGCUCUGGGUGGACACGGCAUCUUCAAAUCCCGUUUUGGGCUGUGAAUGUCCAGGCUUCAACUAAAGGGCUGAGAGAGACUUGGCCAUUUCAGGAGAGGUGGGGGUGGGGUGGGGGAGUGGAGGGACCCUUUUGGCAGCUCUCACCUCUUUCUGUGUUCUUAGUAUAAGGAGUGGUGGCUCAGAGCCAUGGGGAGGGCACAACAGGAAGCUCAGGUGAAGAGUCACAGCUGGAUCGGGCUGUGGCUCUGCUCACAUUUUCUGUGCUGGCUCCAAAUGCAGAGGAACCCACUGGCAGAGGAGAUAGCUACCCACC